rnacentral:rRNA from 1 species
CUUGGUCAUUUAGAGGAAGUAAAAGUCGUAACAAGGUUUCCGUAGGUGAAACCUGCGGAAGGAUCAUUACAGAGUUCUUGCCCUUACGGGUAGAUCUCCCACCCUUGAUAUCUAUUCUCUUGUUGCUUUGGCGGGACGCAUCUUGCCACAGGCUUCGGCUUGUGAGUGCCCGCCAGAGACCCAACCAAAACCUGUUUAUGUGUCGUCUGAGUACUAUAUAAUAGUUAAAACUUUCAACAACGGAUCUCUUGGUUCUGGCAUCGAUGAAGAACGCAGCGAAAUGCGAUAAGUAAUGUGAAUUGCAGAAUUCAGUGAAUCAUCGAAUCUUUGAACGCACAUUGCGCCCCUUGGUAUUCCGAGGGGCAUGCCUGUUCGAGCGUCAUUUACACCACUCAAGCCUAGCUUGGUAUUGGAGUCCGCACACCAGCGGCUCUUAACUCAGUGGCGGCGCCGGUUGGCUCUUUGCGUAGUAAUUCUCUCGCGAUAGGGUCCGUCGGUAGCUUGCCAGCAACCCAAUUUUAGUCGACCUCGGAUCAGGUAGGGAUACCCGCUGAACUUAAGCAUAUCAAUAAGCGGAGGA